GACGAACGCUGGCGGCGUGCUUAACACAUGCAAGUCGAGCGGUAAGGCCCUUUCGGGGGUACACGAGCGGCGAACGGGUGAGUAACACGUGGGUGACCUGCCUCUAGCUCUGGGAUAAGCCUGGGAAACUGGGUCUAAUACCGGAUAUGACUCCACGGCGCAUGUUGUGGGGUGGAAAGCCUUGUGUGGCUAGAGAUGGGCCCGCGGCCUAUCAGCUUGUUGGUGGGGUGAUGGCCUACCAAGGCGACGACGGGUAGCCGGCCUGAGAGGGCGACCGGCCACACUGGGACUGAGACACGGCCCAGACUCCUACGGGAGGCAGCAGUGGGGAAUCUUGCGCAAUGGGCGAAAGCCUGACGCAGCGACGCCGCGUGAGGGAUGACGGCCUCGGUUGGUAA
rnacentral:rRNA from 1 species